rnacentral:rRNA from 1 species
GACGAACGCUGGCGGCGUGCUUAACACAUGCAAGUCGAACGGAAAGGCCCUGCUUUUGUGGGGUGCUCGAGUGGCGAACGGGUGAGUAACACGUGAGUAACCUGCCCUUGACUUUGGGAUAACUUCAGGAAACUGGGGCUAAUACCGGAUAGGAGCUCCUGCUGCAUGGUGUGGGUUGGAAAGUUUCGGCGGUUGGGGAUGGACUCGCGGCUUAUCAGCUUGUUGGUGGGGUAGUGGCUUACCAAGGCUUUGACGGGUAGCCGGCCUGAGAGGGUGACCGGCCACAUUGGGGCUGAGAUACGGCCCAGACUCCUACGGGAGGCAGCAGUGGGGAAUAUUGCACAAUGGGCGGAAGCCUGAUGCAGCAACGCCGCGUGCGGGAUGACGGCCUUCGGGUUGUAAACCGCUUUCGCCUGUGACGAAGCGUGAGUGACGGUAAUGGGUAAAGAAGCACCGGCUAACUACGUG